GAUGAACGCUGGCGGUAUGCCUAACACAUGCAAGUCGUACGAGAGUUUUUAACUCUAGUGGCGGACGGGUGAGUAACACGUGAGAAUUUGCCUUUAGGAGGGGGAUAACAAUUGGAAACGAAUGCUAAUACCCCAUAUGCUUUUGAGUGAAACGGAUUUAUCCGCCUAGAGAGAAGCUCGCGGCUGAUUAGCUUGUUGGUAAGGUAAGAGCUUACCAAGGCGACGAUCAGUAUCUGGUUUGAGAGGACGAUCAGACACACUGGAACUGAGACACGGUCCAGACUCCUACGGGAGGCAGCAGUGGGGAAUUUUCCGCAAUGGGCGAAAGCCUGACGGAGCAAUACCGCGUGAGGGAAGACUGCCUAUGGGUUGUAAACCUCUUUUUUCAGGGAGGAAUAAAAAUGACGUGUACCUGAAGAAUAAGCAUCGGCUAAACUCCGUG
rnacentral:rRNA from 1 species